rnacentral:lncRNA from 1 species
AUCUCGUGAUUAUUACGACUCGCGAGUCAUGAGCUCCACAACUCUAUCGUUUGUUAGGUUAGAUUAUUGCCUGAGAGUUGCUCCCCGCGUUAUGUAGUUUGUGAGUCAUUUUAAAUACCCCGUAACCUAUAUCAAAUAAUUAAUAAAUCAUUUUUUAUUCGUUUUUUUAAGAAUGCAGAGAAAACUAUUGGCGGUAACAGUAAGGGAAAUUGUAGCCGCUGCUAAUCCACCUCCAACUCUACCGCCAUUUCCCACACCGACCCGUCGACUCCUUUAAUUCUUAUAUCUAGCUUUUUCGAGUCGUUAUUAUCCAAGCACCAAUGUAUAUCGUUACGUUUAAUCGACUAAUUUUGUGAUUUGCAGUCGUUUGUUCUUUAGUACGUAUUCUUAUUUAUAUUUUGUAACUUUCUGAUAACUAUGAACUAAUAUAAUGAAGCCCUUGUUUGUUCAGAGAAAAUAAAAAUAUGAACAGGUCAUCUCUACUUGUGCACAUGUUUUUGUUACGAAAACUUUAUAAUAUAAUAUAGGUACAUUUUUGUAUAUUUUUUAAAUCUAAUCUAUUAAAAUUAUAUAAGUUUAGUUAAAGUAUUAAUCUGUUUCCAAUAAAUUGAUAUUAAGUCGCAUGUUGACGUCUAUAGUUUAAAUAAUAAGAUACGCCUAUUUUUUAUCCUCGUAUUUACCUAGAUUAGAAAAUGAUGGUAGUAUGCCUUGAUCAAGUCUCAAAUUCGCAAUUAUAAUUAUUAUUUACUCCGUGAAUAUAUUACAAUCUACAUUCUAAAUGUUAAAUGUAAUAUAAUUUUAAUUGAAAAAAAUUAUCUUGGAAAUGACAUACAUCAUUAUCACGGUUCCUUUUCAAUAUGUAGAUAAAUCUACCAAGUAGUAAAAGAUGACAAUUGUGUUCUGGAUCCUGCCGCCUAGACGUAUGACCUAUCCAUGUUUUUAUUAUCUACUUAUAUUUUUUUAGGAGGGUUUAGUAACCUAACCUUUAAAUACAUUCUAUUGUAUAUGAUUUAAUAUUUAUUAUUAUUUGUUAUGUUUUUGACACAUUUAGAAAUAUAAAUACUUUAUAAUAAAAUAAUAAAGUAAAAACAAAAUUAUGAAAAUUGUUAAUACUUAUAAAUAAAUAUUUUGUUUAUAGAUACUUGUGUGACGUUCUAUGCCAAACCACCUUAGAACAUAUAUUAUAGAUGGAGCCAUAGCCUUAGAAGAUAAUUAAAGGACAUAGGGCUAUCUUCCGCGGUAGCUUAGAGAGGAAGUUUUACUUCCUACCCUAUUGAUAACUUAGUUUCUGGUCACGAAGAAUAACAUCACAGUGUUAAAAGUUAAAAAUUUUUAACCGAUCAUCUGGUUGUUCAUAUUGAAUUUUAUUGUGAUCGAAUUUCGAAUCCAUUGACUAAUUGUUAUUCUUCACUAUAAUGCCAUUCAAGAAGUGUAUAGUGUGCAUACAUGAUUCUGGUAGGUUUAAUAUUAUCUAUAUUUUAUAAACUAAGAAUAAAUAACAAUGUACAGCAUUAUUCACAAAAUGUACCUAGGUAUUCUACACUUAAUCAUUAAAACUAUAUAGUAAUAAUAACAAUACCUAAGACAAAAUUUUUAAUCCUUCAAAAGAGGAUGUUUAGACCCUCUUCUUCAUUUAUAAAUUAAAAGUAAUACAAGUAAAGUUGAUUAAUGAUUUACAGAAUAUAUCAGAAUGAAACUCGUAGCCUGCUUAUCUAACGUGCACAUUGGAUAUAGUGACUGUGCACGGCGAGCCCAAUACCGUAUUCAAAUUAGAAAUCGGAAACCAUUUCCUUCUUGACUUCUGAUCAGAAACUACGGCUGAACCAUCUACAAUGAAAGUAUUAGAGUUGCAAAACAUAAUAUCUGGAAAAUAUA